GGGUUUGAACCCGUCACCCUCCGUAUAUGGGGCCGGUGCCUUACUGACUGAGCCACAGGCACCGCCCUAUAGCUAACUUUUGUAUCAUGGCUUUGAAGAGGAUUUCCCCUGCAUAUUUUUCAGUUUAAUUAAUCAAGAGAAGGGGAAAACAGUUGUUAACUUAAGAGUUUUUAAUUAUGGUUAUUUAUUUGAAAUGUAAAAUUAAUUUUUUAUUCUCAUUUCUUAGUAAGGUUUAAAAUAUAUAUAAAGAAGUAAAAGAAGAUGCUGUAAUUAAACAGACUUCCAGAAAUGUUUUAUACAUAUUUUGUAUAAACAUGUUUUGUACAAAACCUUAGUUUUGCCUGCUGUUUUAAAAUAAAGUACCUGGGGCCAGACGCAGUGGCUCACGCCUGUAAUCCUAGCACUUGGGAGGCUGGGGCGGGUGGAUUGCCUGAGAUCAUGGGUUUGAGACCAGCCUGAGCCAGAUCAAGACCUUGUCUCUAAAAACAGCUGUGCGUUGUAGUGGGCGCCUGUAAUCCAGCUACUUGGGAGGUUGAGGCAAGAGAAUCGCUUGAGCCCAAGAGUUGGAGGUUGCUGUGAGAUAUGACACCAUGGCACUCUACCAAGGGUGACAAAGUGAGACUCUGUCUCAAAUAAAAUAAAGUACCUGCCAUUUUAGGAGAGAGAUUUAUUAUUAUCAGUUACAGGCUUUGACUUUUGUAGUGUCAUAUAAAAAUUAUACCCUUCAAAUUUCAGACUAUUAAAAUUUGUUCAAACAGCAUUUAUUUUAUAAGACAAUUUUUUCCCUACUGAAAUUCCACUCAUGAAAUCUGUGUUUUUUGCUAUUUUUCCCUUGUACUCAUGGAUUUCCAUUUCUGGCACAGAUGGGAUAACAGAGAUUGUUGGAUUUACUCUUCUGGCUGUAAUCACAAAACAAACAAAAGCCCCAGGCAGAGUAUAUGAAGCAACAGUUUCAUGCACUGAACAACAGGCAGUACAGGACAGUGAACCAGAGAAAGCAGAAACAAACAAGGUGAAGUCUAUAAUUAUAUGUACUAGCGUACAUCCAGGGGAGAAUGCUGGGCUGCAGGGUAAGCAGGACCCUACACAGAGCCCAGCAGUCUCCUUGAGUUCAGGAGAUGGAUCUGGAGUCUAGGGAGGUUAAGAUAUUAGAGAUUGGAGAGGGGAGAGCUGCAUAGGGAGAGAGCUUCAGAGAUCUGCAGGGUCAAGAAUAGUUUGUGCUUACACAAACCAGAUCAGAAAAACCUCUUACGAUACAGGACAACAGGGCAGUGCAGCGCUGUUUAAAGAUGGCGGUGGAGGAACCUCAGCAGCAGAAGCAGGAGCCGCUAGGCAGUGACUCUGAAGGUGUUAACUGGCCUAUGAUGAAGUCAUCGUGGCUCAGCAGGACUGAAUUCAGCAAGAGAUUGCUGUGCAAAACCCGCUGGUGUCAGAGCGGCUGGAGCUCUCGGUCCUAUACAAGGAGUAUGCUGAGGAUGACAACAUCUACCAACAGAAGAUCAAGGACCUCCACAAAAAGUACUUGUGCAUCCGGAAGACCAGGCCUGAUGGGAACUGCUUCUAUCAAGCUUUUGGAUUCUCCCACUUGGAGGCGCUGCUGGAUGAUAGCAAGGAAUUACAGCGGUUCAAGGUUGUGUCUGCCAAGAGCAAAGAGGACCUGGUGUCCCAGGGCUUCACUGAGUUCACAAUUGAGGAUUUCCACAACACGUUCAUGGACCUGAUCGAGCAAGUGGAGCAGACCUCAGUAGCUGACCUGCUGGCCUUCAACAACCAGAGCACCUCAGACUACCUUGUGGUCUACCUGCUGCUGCUCACGUUGGGCUGUCUGCAGCGGGAGAGCAAAUUCUUCGAGGACUUCAUCGAGGGUGGGCGGACUGUCAAGGAGUUCUGCCAGCAGGAGGUGGAGCCCACGUGCAAGGAGAGCAACCACAUCCACAUCAUCGCACUGGCCCAGGCCCUUCGUGUGUCCAUCCUGGUGGAGUACAUGGAUCUCAGCGAGGGCUGCACCACCAACCCACACAUCUUCCCCAAGGGCUCUGAGCCCAAGGUCUACCUUCUCUACUGGCCUGGACACUAUGACAUCCCUACAAAUAGGGCUGGCCCAGCCUGCCACUGCCCUGCCUGCCCUCCCCUCUGCCAGGCGCUAGACAUGUACAGAGGUUUUUUGUGGUGGUAAAUGGUUAUAUUUCAACUCCCUUCUUCCUGUCACAUGACCUUCUGUGUUUUAUUAAAGGGGAUGCUGGUGGUGAAAAAAAAAAAAAAAGAUACAG